rnacentral:tRNA from 1 species
AGUAAUAUGCCUGAAUAAAAGGGCUAUCUUGAUAGGAUAGAUUAUGUGUACCCAACACUAUUACUU